CUUUUGUCGAUGUAAAGCCCCCGGCUCAACCGGGGAGGGUCAUUGGAAACUGGGAGACUUGAGUGCAGAAGAGGAGAGUGGAAUUCCAUGUGUAGCGGUGAAAUGCGUAGAUAUAUGGAGGAACACCAGUGGCGAAGGCGGCUCUCUGGUCUGUAACUGACGCUGAGGCUCGAAAGCGUGGGGAGCAAACAGGAUUAGAUACCCUGGUAGUCCACGCCGUAAACGAUGAGUGCUAAGUGUUGGAGGGUUUCCGCCCUUCACUGCUGCAUCUAACUCAUUACACUCCGCCUGGGGAUACGACCGCAAGGUUGAAACUCAAAGAAUUGACGGGGGCCCGCACAAACCCUCCAUGUUUUAUUCUCAACAACGCAAGAACCUUACCGGUUGACUCUUUGCCCUCACUAAAACUCCCCUUCGCCAAACGACAGGGUGUCCCCUCCUAUAUUUUCUACUCCCCUCAAUUCCACCUUCUUCCAUCUCAUUUUCCACUCACCUCCCUGGUACAAACCUUCGCAAUCUGACUUUGACACCACCCGCCU
rnacentral:rRNA from 1 species